GAUGAACGCUGGCGGCGUGCCUAAUACAUGCAAGUCGAGCGAACGGACGAGAAGCUUGCUUCUUUGAUGUUAGCGGCGGACGGGUGAGUAACACGUGGAUAACCUACCUAUAAGACUGGGAUAACUUCGGGAAACCGGAUCUAAUACCGGAUAAUAUUUUGAACCGCAUGGUUCAAAAGUGAAAGACGGUCUUGCUGUCACUUAUAGAUGGAUCCGCGCUGCAUUAGCUAGUUGGUAAGGUAACGGCUUACCAAGGCAACGAUGCGUAGCCGACCUGAGAGGGUGAUCGGCCACACUGGAACUGAGACACGGUCCAGACUCCUACGGGAGGCAGCAGUAGGGAAUCUUCCGCAAUGGGCGAAAGCCUGACGGAGCAACGCCGCGUGAGUGAUGAAGGUCUUCGGAUCGUAAAACUCUGUUAUUAGGGAAGAACAGAUGUGUAAGUAACUGUGCACGUCUUGACGGUACCUAAUCAGAAAGCCACGGCUAACUACGUG
rnacentral:rRNA from 1 species